CUAAUACCGGUGAGUGGACUUGCAUUUCAAAACUUGUUUUGGGGAUAUAAUGUAUUUGUCAAACAUUUGAAUGGAUUAUCCAGCUUUUCAUAAAAACAAGUGCCUUGGGAACAAGCUUUUGAUAGAUUGUCUUCAUGUUGUGACAUGUGACUAUUAUUGAUUCAUGCACUACCACAUUGUGUUGAUAUAUAUAUAUAUGAAUACAUUGUUGUGUAAUGAUAUUGACUCGGCUAUGUGUGAGUAGGGAGUGCGCAUAAGCAGAUGAUGACCCGGUUAUGUGCGAGUAGGGAGUGCGCAUAAGCCGGUGAUAACCCGGUUAUGUGCAAGUAGGGAGUGCGCAUAACCUGGUGAUGACCUAGCCAUGUGCGAGUAGGGAGUGCGCAUGAGCUGGGAAUAAUGAUGAUGAUGGGAUGGUGUGCAUGAUGAUGAUGGGUAUAUGGUUGUAAAUGCAAAUAUGUGAGCAUUUGAUUUGUUGAAAUUUGGGAGUUUAAAUGUGUUACAUGUUGCUAUUGUUAUUUUAGCAGGAUGACUUGUUUUAAGGGAAAAGGAGACUUUUUCCUUGAUGUUCAGAUUCUCGCUGCAACGAGAUUCAUUCUCGCUGCAACGAGAAACUCUCGAGUUUGAGGGCCUUUACCAGACUUGGUUUUCACUGCAGCAAGAAUGAAGUUCAUUGCAGUGAGAAACUUUCUAUCCAUUUUGCUAACUUGUGGGUUUUUGCCAUAUUUCCCAUUUUCUUGGUACCAUAGUUGAGCAUGGAUCUUUGUAAAGUGAUUUACUCAUGUGGGGUUUGCAUAAGGGGUUUAAAAGAACCAAAAUAAUUGCAUUGUUUUGAGAAAAUGAAUGCAUCAUGAUUUCGUUAAACAUUCCUUAUGGUAUGCUUGUUCCUUUUCUUGUUCACUCAUUGAGUUUAUGCUCACCGCUUUCAACUUCAUAUUUUCAGAUUACGAGGCAGCUGGUAACUAGGUCGAGGUACCUUUGUAGACUCGACUAUUGGUAGGUGUCUCGACAUUUAGUAGCUGUACAUUCGUCAAGUUUCUCCGCUGGACAUCGAGUCUUCUUUUGUUAUGAAUAGACGAACCUAAUGUGAAUUAUUAAGAUAUAUGUUGUAGACAGUGUAUAUACACUUGUUUGGUAUACCAGUAUGAGGGGCAAUGUUCAAUAUUAUUUCGAUUCUAAGUUAUGAUAUAUAACUUAGCAGUUUAUGAUGGAAUAAUGAAUAUGUCAGAUUAAUAGGCUUGCUUAGGCUUAGUGGACUACGUCCAUUGGGUCCAUGCGCCGGUCAUGGCCUAAAAUUUGGGUUGUGACAAUGUUGGUAUCAGAGCUCUAGGUUUGUCUAGGUCAUAGGACUUCCAUUUGUUGGUCCAGUAGAGUGUCAGGUUUUUAUGUGGGAACUUCAGUUGUGAAGUGUGAAUCGCGGCACAUUUUACGACCAAGGGACUGCAUAGAUUCCCUAUCUUAGAAACCACCUUUCCCUUGAGUAUGAUUAUGAAAUGUGUUUAGUAACAGGUGUUUGCUCAUCUUGGUAAGAAUGCAGCCUAAGACAUGAGCCACCUCAAGACGGAUGGGGGAGCAAGAUGCUCCUACUGAGAUGGCAAAUAGGCCACGGGCAUCCAACCUAAGGGGCCGAGGUAGACGUGGCAGGGCCACUAGGCUGGUGAAGGUGGAUACUCCUGUGGGUAAGUAAGAGGAGGGACAGUCCUCAGGUGAUGUAGAUAGACACCCAACUGGGGGUAUUACCAUUGAGGAUUUGACGGCAGGCUUACAGGGAGUUAAUCGGGUUGUAGAGAUGAUGACGACUCGUAUGGAGGAUAUACAGAGGGUAGUAGAGGGGAGACCUACAGUGCAAGAAUCCCCUAACUCCUAAGGACAAGCCGACCGCCAAUAUCAUGAGGUUGAGAGGGGUCACUUAGAGAUUUCUUUUCCUGAUUUUCUUAAGCUUAAGCCUCCAUCAUUUUCAGGGUCCGAUGCAUCGAAAAAGCCCCAGAUCUUUUUAGGUAAGAUGGAGAAAAUAUGUAAGGCUUUGGGAUGCUCUAGUGUCUGAUCAAUCGAGCUAGCACAUUUUAGAGUGAGGCCUAUUUUAAUGGACAAGAUUAAAGAAACACAAGGUAAAGAUGAGUUUAUAGUUAAGGCCUUAGAGGAUCCUCAAGGAAGAAAAGGAAAAAUGUUUACCAAAGGCAUAGAUGGAGUGAAGAGGUAACAUGGGAGGUCGAUGAGGAUAUAUGGAAAAAGUAUCCCCACCUUCUUGUUGCAUAGAGGUAAGUGACCUUAUAGUUGAAUUUAAAUUCGAGGACCGAAUUUCUUUAAGUGGGAGAGAAUGUGAGACCUUGACCCUUAUAGACUCAUAGAUAGAAACAUACGCGAUAUCCCUAAUCAAGGGUAAUUUCGUCAUUUUCUUAAUAAGCCCAUAAAAGUAAGUUUUAAACAAUAUUAUGGCUUAAGUAGGCCUAAAGCAUAAAUGAAUGAUGAAAAUAUGGGUGAAAUGACAAGGAAAUAAAAUUUUUGAUGAUUUUCAUGUUUUAGGGGCAAAAUGGUCACUUUUGUCACUUGAGGAUAAAAUAGAAAUUUUUGAAAUUUUACACCACCCUAACACUUGUCAAGCCCAUGGAUUUCAGCCAUUAACAUUUUACAUUAUGGAUAAUUGAAACAUUUUAUGAGGUGGAGAAAGAUUGCUUAAUNGUUUUAGGGGCAAAAUGGUAAUUUUGUCACUUGAGGAUAAAAUAGAAAUUUUUGAAAUUUUACACCACCUAACACUUGUCAUGCCCAUGGAUUUCAACCAUUAACAUUUUACAUUAUGGAUAAUUGAAACAUUUUAUGAGGUGGAGAGAGAUUGCUUAAUGGAUAAGUAUUACACAUGGACCAAUGAAAACAUGCCAUGUGUCAAGCUUGGAUCAUUCUAGAAUUUCCUUGUCAAAUCUAUUUAAAACUCUCUUAGUAUCACCCAUAUGGCUGGCCAAAGCAUAAAGUGAAGAGGAAAGGAAAGAACACAAACCCUAGGUGGGAAAAUUGAAGAAAAAGUGUGGGAUUCUAAGGAAUUAAGCAAGGUAAAGUGAAAAUUCUUUAUUUUUACUUGAGAUUUACAAUACCCAUGCUUUAUUUUCUUAUUUCUAUGGUUGAGAACCAUGAUUUCAUAGUGAAUAAGUGGUAGGCAAAAUGGGUAUGGAGAGAGAAUGAUCUUGGAUUGGUUUGAUUUUUAGGUAUGUUAGUAUUUUUAGGUGAUUAAUGAUGUGUAGCAUGAAAACAAGUGAAGAAAACUACCAAAGGUUUAGUGCCCAUCAAUAGCCAAAUUCUCUAAGUGAAUAAUGAGGAAGAAUGGGAUGUUAUUCUAGGUGAUUUGAUUAAGAAAUAAUAGUUUUUGGUGUAGGAACUAAUGAAUAAUGGUGAGAAAAUUAAGUAGGAAAAAUCAUGGAGUUAGUGUACCAUUGUUGGCCAAAGUUCCAAGAAAAAAAAUGAAGAUAAAUUUUGCCUAAUUAUGUGUUAAUUAGUUUGUGCUUGGUGAAUUGAGGGAUUGGAAAAGAAAUGGAGCAAGUUGGAGUGAAAUUGGACGCAUUGGCCAAUUUAUUGGAUGAAAAAUCGACUUAGGCCAAUACCGGAUCUAGAUGGCUACCCGUGCAUUUUUCAUUUCAUAUAAUAUAUAUAUCGAGCCUGAAUAACUUAUGACUGUUAGACAUAAUUUAAUUGGAAUAUGUGUCAUGGAUUAUGGCUAGGUGGUGAGCCAUUGGACAUGGGUAAAGGACUGUACCCGCGAAUUGAAAAUAAGAGUGUUUCUACUCCUAAUACCAGUGAGUGGACUUGCAUUUCAAAACUUGUUUUGGGGAUAUAAUGUAUUUGUCAAACAUUUGAACGGAUUAUCCAGCUUUUCAUAAAAACAAGUGCCUUGGGAACAAGCUUUUGAUAGAUUGUCUUCAGGUUGUGACAUGUGACUAUUAUUGAUUCAUGCACUACCACAUUGUGUUGAUAUAUAUAUAUGAAUACAUUGUUGUGUAAUGAUAUUGACUCGGCUAUGUGCGAGUAGGGAGUGCUCAUAAG
rnacentral:lncRNA from 1 species